AUUGAACGCUGGCGGCAGGCCUAACACAUGCAAGUCGAGCGAGCGGCGGACGGGUGAGUAAUGUAUGGGGACUGCCCGAUAGAGGGGGAUAACUACUGGAAACGGUAGCUCAUACCGCAUACUAUCGGAUAACCCAUAUGGGAUUAGCUAGUAGGUGAGGUAAUGGCUCACCUAGGCGACGAUCCCUAGCUGGUCUGAGAGGCUGAUCAGCCACACUGGGACGGGGAAACGGACAAGACGCCUACGGAGGCAGCAUUGGGGAAUAUGGCACAAUGGGCGCAAGCCUGAGGCAGCCAUGCCGCGUGUAUGAAGAAGGCCCUAGGGUUGUAAAGUACUUUCAGUCGGGAGGCGGUACCGACAGAAGAAGCACCGGCUAACUCCGUGCCAGCAGCCGCGGUAAUUC
rnacentral:rRNA from 1 species